AGCCCCCUGGUGUAGCGGUCAAUCAUAUCGGCCUUUGGAGCCGGUGACCCAGGUUCGAAUCCUGGGGGGGCUA
rnacentral:tRNA from 1 species